rnacentral:lncRNA from 1 species
CAAGCGCGGCCAGAGUGGGCUGAGGCCGAGGAGGCGCCGAGAGCCAGCGGGGGAUGCCAGCAAGCUGUCACCUCUCAGAAAUACAGGAAGAACAUCAAUAAUGUUCGAAGUUAUAAAUUGCGGAGGUCAGAAGUCAGAAAACAAGGUGUCUGCAGGACCAACCUCUCCUCUGGAUGCUCUAGUGUGGACUCUCAAGACAAUAUACAGCAGUGCUUCUCAAAGUUAAACAGUAUAUGAGUGACCUGGAAA